rnacentral:rRNA from 1 species
AGUGAACGCUGGCGGUAGGCCUAACACAUGCAAGUCGAACGGCAGCACAGUAAGAGCUUGCUCUUACGGGUGGCGAGUGGCGGACGGGUGAGGAAUACAUCGGAAUCUACUUUUUCGUGGGGGAUAACGUAGGGAAGCUUACGCUAAUACCGCAUACGACCUACGGGUGAAAGCAGGGGAUCUUCGGACCUUGCGCGAUUGAAUGAGCCGAUGUCGGAUUAGCUAGUUGGCGGGGUAAAGGCCCACCAAGGCGACGAUCCGUAGCUGGUCUGAGAGGAUGAUCAGCCACACUUGAACUGAGACACGGUCCAGACUCCUACGGGAGGCAGCAGUGGGGAAUAUUGGACAAUGGGCGCAAGCCUGAUCCAGCCAUACCGCGUGGGUGAAGAAGGCCUUCGGGUUGUAAAGCCCUUUUGUUGGGAAAGAAAAGCAGCAGGUUAAUACCCCGCUGUUAUGACGGUACCCAAAGAAUAAGCACCGGCUAACUUCGUG